rfam:Myotis lucifugus cont2.6208, whole genome shotgun sequence.
AGAGGCCCUCUGCGGCCGUGGCGGAACGCUUGCCUCGUCACCGCGGUGAUGAAGCAAGCAUUCCGCCAGGCAGCUCACACUGCCCAU